GGAUGCCUACGGGACGCAGCAGUGGGGAAUAUUGCACAAUGGGGGAAACCCUGAUGCAGCGACGCCGCGUGAGUGAAGAAGUAUUUCGGUAUGUAAAGCUCUAUCAGCAGGGAAGAAAAUGACGGUACCUGAUUAAGAAGCCCCGGCUAACUACGUGCCAGCAGCCGCGGUAAUCCGUAGGGGGCAAGCGUUAUCCGGAUUUACUGGGUGUAAAGGGAGCGUAGCCGGCAGCGCAAGUCUGAAGUGAAAUGCCGGGGCUUACCCCCGGACCUGCUUUGGAAACUGUGCAGCUAGAG
rnacentral:rRNA from 1 species